rnacentral:rRNA from 1 species
UACAGAGGGGGGCAAGCGUUGUUCGGAAUUACUGGGCGUAAAGGGCGCGUAGGCGGCCUGUUAAGUCGAACGUGAAAUCCCCGGGCUCAACCCGGGAACUGCGUCCGAUACUGGCAGGCUUGAAUCCGGGAGAGGGAUGCGGAAUUCCAGGUGUAGCGGUGAAAUGCGUAGAUAUCUGGAGGAACACCGGUGGCGGAAGG